CCCUUAGAUGUUCUGGGCGGCCCGCGCACUACAAUGGCGCUUUCAGCGAGUUCCUAUGUUGAAUUUUCCUUGGUAUUCUUGGAAGCGGCGUCUUGACUUGGGAUAGAUCCUUGUAAUUGUUGGUUUUGAACGAGGAAUUCCUUGUAAUCGCGGUUGAUCAGCUCGCGUUGAAUACGUCCCUGCCCUUUGUACACACCGCCCGUCGCUCCUACCGAUGAAUCGUCCGGUGAAGUUCACAGAGUGGCGGUUCGUGGAGUUGCUCGCGAAGUGAAAUGGACCUAACGAUUUAGAGGAAGGAGAAGUCGUAACA
rnacentral:rRNA from 1 species